CAUGUUAUGGGGGGAGAUGCUUCACGGAGCCCUGAGCUCCUAGAGCCAACAGCUGCCGGGAGAGGCCCCGACUCCUGGGCAGGGGGUGGGGACCAACCCCAUCCUAGGGGGAAGAUGAGGUCCCGGCCUGGCCACAGCCAGUGCCCCAAGCUUGGGCUGGAUGGUGGGGUCACCUCUUGUUCCUGGCAGUGAGCAGGACACUUGGUCCUGGGGUGAGGGGACAGAGCCAUGGCCUGGAUUUCAGCCCCGUGGGGUCCAUCUCACAGUGGGGGCAUCCCCUUAUCUCCAGCCAGAGGGAUGCCCCCUGUGAGGCCAUUUCUGGACCCUGAGCCACAGCAAGAGGAGGACCAGCAGCUCUGACAGCAGCGGCCUCAUUCCGUCAUGGUUUCGGGCACACGCUCAGAGCUGAGGAUCCCAUUCCCUCCUCAAGUCUGGGUCCGAGUGAGACUCCUCCGGGUGUGGAGAUGUUUGGGGCACAUGGUAGAUGCAUGACCGGUGUUUGGAACAAGCCUGCUGAAGAGGUGUUCGAGGUUGAUGAUAUGGGACUGCAAAUAACUAACUCAGAGCCCCGAGGUGCCAUGCUGUAGGAGGCGACCAAGCACUCAGCCAAGGAGGACCCAAGUCUGCCACUCCUUGUCCCCGUAAACACAUAGACCUGAGGGCACCUCUGGCUGAGGGAUGCCCCAGGCUUCUCUUUGCUCCGCCAAGUGGACGGCAUCACCAUCUUCUCUGUUUUUCUGAGAACAGAGGGGAAAGAAAAAACCAGAUCCCUAUUCCCUGGCUUACUCUGUGAGUUAAUUCCAGAGCCUUCUGGUAAUGUUCCCCAGAAAUCUCUGAGCAAGUGCUGGAAACGGGGGAGGGGAGGAUUAGGAUUUUGUGUACUUUUGUUGGAGGCUGGCUAGUUUCCUCCAGCACUGGGGUGAAUGGCCGUCUCCAGAUGGAUUUAGGUCUCUGCGGUGAAUAAUGCCUGUUUCUUCAGAAUUGCUUAAAAGCAGGGUGAUACACAAGGGAAAUAAAAAGAACACUUUGAAUUUUUUUCCUUCAGGACAAAGCAUGUGCAUUAAAGAGCUCCAAAAAGAUAAAUUAAUUCAUUUAAAAGACAAUAAUUUAACACUAUUGAUGUAUGUGUUUCAGGUGCCCUGUUGACCUAGUCAGUUCCCCGUGAUGCCGGUGCUAAGGCCCAUGUGAGCCGAGUGCCCGCAGAGCUGAAGAAGGCAUGUGGCUCAGAGCAAAGGAGAGACCUAAUCUCUUUCUUAAGAAAGUCCUGGCAGGCCGGACAGCCCUCUGUCCAGCAGAUUCCCCUGAAAUGAAAGCUGUUUAUAAGAGAUGCCAGAUCCUGGAUCAUGCUUUGAAAAUGUUUUUUAAGCUCCGUGAUAACCUCCCUUAGGUCACAUCUGGCCUGGAGGCCGCAUGCCAAACACUCCAUAUUUAGAGCUGAAUUUGCAAGUUCACAACAGGAGGGAGAAAUGCAAUGGAAUGUGUCAAAAUACCUUCUCGAGAGGGAACCUAAGGACACAGAGUUUGUUGAUUACAAACCUUGUUUAUUGCGUGAUAUCGUAAUUGGUCCUUGCACGGCCAACUCCUUCUGUCCUCACCAACAUUAUGUUGUCAGUCUUUUGAACAUUAGCCUUUUGUUCGUACAAAGUGGCAUCUGAUUGUGGUUUUAACUGGCAUGUCUCUGAUGACUAAACAUGUUGAUCACCUAUUGGUGUAUUUAUUGGAUAUCUUUGCAUUUGUUUAUCUUCUUUUUGAAGAAAUGACUCUUCAAGCCUUUUGCCCACCUUUAAUUGGGUUGUCUUUUUAUUACUGAGUGGUAGGGGUUCUUUAUAUAUUUUGAAGACAAGUCAUUUUUCAGAUAAAUAUAUUAUAAAUAUUGUAUCCCAUUCAGUAGCUUGCCCAUUGAUAUUUUUAAUUAUGGGUUUUGAUAAUGAAAUGUUUUUAA